rfam:Flavobacterium cauense R2A-7 FCR2A7T_12, whole genome shotgun sequence.
CCUUAGCCCUGAUGGGAGUGGCAUCCUUUUGUGGAACAAAAGAUAGAACGGACAGCAGGAACUGGG